ACUAUAAACAAGUAACAACUACCUAUGUACAGUUGGCGCGCGCACACCAAUACUCCACGUAUUUUGUAAUGCACGGGGGACCUAUAUAUAUAUUGUGCGGCGACGACUUGUUUUAGUCGGUCAUAAGCAUAACUAGUAGUAUUAUUAAUAUAUACGUAUAUUAUUAUACAUCAUGUACGAUGAAUCUAUAAUUGUUAAUGCGUUUAGGUGACGUGCGUGUUGUAGGCGCACGGAAACCGUCGACACACCAAACGCAGUGCGGCAACGACACAUAAAUACAGAUAUAUAUACAGAAGGGGUAAUAUAAUAAUAAUAAUAUUACGCAUGUAUGGGAUGUAAUGGAAUUUGAACAAUAAAAAAAUGUGUUCGUGCGCGUGGCUGUGUUUUGUUUUGAUGACGAGCACACUAGCACAGCGUUUCACACUAUCUGGCUGGCAUUUUUUUUUUUCAUUUUAAAAUUUAUUUUCAUUCUCAUUUCUCGGUCGUCCGUUUUCCGAACGUUAUAAUCGAGAUGUAAUAGUGUUCGUCGGACGCCUGCAAUUAAUCAACGGUUGCGGCUAGGGGCUGCAGCUCAUGUCAGCACUUGCGGAAAACCGUCCUUCCUCACCAUCCAAAGUUAAUUCUCCCUCUCAAUACGAAAAAGUCGAAGCGAAAGCAAAACGAACAAAAACAGUCAGUUUUCCACUCCCGGCACCGCAAGAAAGCUCUCACGUGUGCCUAUAUUCAAAUGUCAUCCAACUAUAUUAUAUUUGAGGUAUUUUAUUCGGGAUGGACUAUUAAUAAUAUUAAGAAUAAAUAAUAUAAUUAUAGUACUAAUAAUAUGUACUUCCAGUUUAUUAAUUUGUUAUUUUUUCACGAUCUCGAUUUGUUAAAUGAAUAUUGGUGUUAUUUUAUUCUCCGGAGUCCGGAUAGUUAAUUAUUAACAAUUUAUUUUCGAGAAAAUAUGUCCUUAUUCUUUGCACUAAUUGAUACUCGAAUUGAUAUUUAGAUUAUAACUUUAUAAGCGCUGAAAACUUGUAUCACGAGGAUGUAACAUUAUUAAUGGAUUAAAAAUAAUAAAUUAUUAGUA